rnacentral:pre_miRNA from 1 species
CCCACCCUGUCUCAUGGGUAGUUUAGCUCAACUAGUACAUGUAAUUAGUAAUCCCUCCGUAUAAUUAGUAUUUUUGUUGUUAUGAGAUGAUAAAAUAUAAAUAGUACUUUACUCAUGACUUAUGUUUUUAAUUUUUUUAAAAAACAUUUCAAAUAAGAUGGACGGUUAAAGUUGGACGUGAAAAAUCAUGGCUGCACUUAAA